AUUGAACGCUGGCGGCGUGCUUAACACAUGCAAGUCGAUCGGUAACGCGGGGGCAACCCUGGCGACGAGAGGCGGACGGGUGAGGAACGCUUGGGAAUCUGCCUAUCAGCGGGGGACAACCCGGGGACACUCGGGCUAAUACCGCAUACGCUCUACGGAGGAAAGCCGGGGACCGGAAGGCCGGGCAAUGAUAGAUGAGCCCAAUUCGGAUUAUCUAGUUGGCGGGGUAACGGGCCACCAAGGCGACGAUCCGUAGCUGGUCUGAGAGGACGAUCAGCCACACUGGGACUGAGACACGGCCCAGACUCCUACGGGAGGCAGCAGUGGGGAAUAUUGGACAAUGGGGGAAACCCUGAUCCAACGACGCCGCGUGGGUGAAGAAGGCCUGCGGGUUGUAAAGCCCUUUCGGUAGGGACGAAAGCUCUCGACCUAACACGUCGGGAGGUUGACUUAACCUACAAAAGAAGCACCGGCUAACUCUGUGCCAGCAGCCGCUGUAACAC
rnacentral:rRNA from 1 species